ACAUACAUAUACAUACAUAUAUACAUACAUACAUACAGACACAUAUACAUACAUACAUACAGCUCAACUCAAAGAGGAGAAGACGCAGAGUCUAUCUCUUAUUUUCUAAUUGUUGACUUUUCUUACAAACAAAUGGCUACUGAUCACUAACGGUCAUCUCAGGAUAGAGAUGGAGAAGACUAGAAAUCUGCUGCAAGGAUUUUUUGUGCCAAUGAAAGUCCCUUUUGUACUCUCUUCUACUGUGUAAACGUGUAUUUUACUACUCUACUUUUCUUACAAUGAAGUUUGAGUUGUGUAAGCAGUUCUUCUUCUUAAAGGAUAAUCCACUGUUUUUUGGGAUCCCGCGCCUGUGUACUGUACCAACCGGCUCACCAGAGAGAGGUUUCAAGGUGCCGAUUUGUUUUCAAGCAUUCAAAUUAAAAUCAGGGGAAUCUUCUUGUCUCCUUUCAGUUCUAACCUUCAUUAAUAUGCAGAUUUCUAUCUUGAAUCAACCUCAGUAUGUCCGUAAUUAGUGCAUCUUUGUGCACAAUCGUACACUGGAGAUAUUCCGUUUUCUGUGCUGCUUAAAUGAGCAACAGAGCGACCCUGUGCUGUGCUUCCUUCAGCCUGCAGGAGGCAGACCAGAACGCCAAUCCCAUAUGCAUACAUCAUGCAUAGCAAAUCAAUUGGCAUCUUGAAACGUAAUUGUAAAUAUCCUUAUUGUAUAUAUAUCACCUUUUAUAAUUUAUUCCUUUUAAAAUAACCCAAUUGUUUAGUUUGCCCAUUGUUCAAACGUUAACGUUUAUGGUACUUUUAUGGGUUGAAUAACCUCUGACAAUAUCGAUAUAUGUUAUAGAGACGCUUUCACAUUACAAGUAUGUUGUUUCUGUGCACGUAUUUUUGUACAUUUUCAGUAUGACUUGAAUUGGUGUGGAGAACUGCUCCCUAUCCCCUGACUGACAACAGUUGUGAUCAUCUAGCAGCAUUACUCCUUCCCAUAAUACAAUCAAAACCACAAAUGUUUACAUUGUGAUAAUCUUCUAUCUAGUCAUUUUGGUGCUGCUUCAGAGGCGUGUGUGUGUGUGUGUGUGUGUGUGUGUGUGUGUGUGUGUGUGUGUGUGUGUGUGUGUGUGUGUGUGUGUGUGUGUGUGUGUGUGUGUGUGUGUGUGUGUGUGUUUGUGUGUGUGUGUGUGUGUGUGUGUGUGUGUGUGUGUGUUCAAUGGUUUGUCAUUGACGUCUCCAGCUUGUUCAUGAAGCACUACUCAUUAUGAUUACAUAACUCCAUACAGAAGAGGGGUGUGAGUGCCACCACGUUUGAUCUCCGUGUAACAUCCACUGUGUCCUGUGGACACAGGUUAUGUCACAAUUAAUGCAUUUAACCUGCAUGGGUGUAGUCGGGCUGUCUGGCAUUGUCCCCUUCUUUGUCUCAUUGGAUCCUCAUGAGCAAAAAGUGCACGAAAAAGAUCAUAUUGGAUGCAGCCUUGCUCACAAGCCAAGGACAUUUCCUUUUGGGUUCUGUGGGUCUUCUUGCUAUGCAGAUAUUUUUUUAAAUCUGUGAUAUUCCUAUAUAUAUAUAUACUCUUUUUCUACUGUAUCCAAUGGGGAUUUUCAGAUACAUAGCUCUUUGUUAAAUCCUACUGAAUCUUGUUCAAAUUUGAAAGUACGAACGUUUGAAUAAAAUUUGUAUAUUUCAGACCGUAUCCUAUGGUGUUUGAAUCAAUUUGGUCUCCAUAAUCAGGAAGAGCUGACUGAGUUUGUAUUUGAAGUGAAUCCGAAGUCUGUGAUCAAAGGUCAUAACCAAUAAUUGACCUGCUUUUUACUUUCAGUUGUCAGUUGCCUCAGAAAAGGUGAAAGUGAUCGUGAAUAUUGUGAACUAAAUCCACAAUUUGUUGAAAGUGGCCUUGCUAUUAUUACAGCAUAACUUCAUUCAAGUAGGAAUACUAUGUUUUUUGUUUUUUAAAUGCAGAAAGUCAAUGUGUUUAUAGUGAUAUGAACAUCGGAAAGAAAUCCAUGAAAAAAUUUUAGUCAUUUUUAAAUUUUGUUUUUCUUCAUCAACUGUGUAGUAUUGAGACACUGCCCAUGAUUGUGUCCACAGCUCAUAGAACAUUCUUAUCUUACCUACAUUACAUGAAAUAUUGUAUUUAUAUGUAAUCAUGUUUGCAAAUCCUAUUGUAACACAGUGCUGGAAGUACUCAACUACUAAAAUGUACGACUACUCAUGAUGCAGACACUUGUCUGUGUUAUAUUAUUACGUUAUAUGAAUUGAUUAUUAUUACUGAUGCAUUAACGUGUUAACAGCUUUUACAUGUUGGAACUGGUCGAGGUGGAGCUAAUUUCAACUACUUUGUAUAAUUGGGGUAGUUUAAUCGGUAGGCUUUUCGUUCGUUUUCUGUUUUUCUCUGAUUACAUGGUUUUGUAUGUAAAAUCUCCAUUUGCAGAGUAAACACUAAGCAUAGCUGUCACAUAAAGUAAAAAGUACAAUAUUUGCCUCUGAAAUGUGGAGUAGGAGUACAAAGUAGCUAUCAUAAAACGGGAAUAGUCAGGUAAUGUACAAGGACCUCAAAACUGUUUUAAUCCUAUUGCUGUUUGGGUUUCAUCUUUACCUCAGGACUUUUCCCAUGAGAAUUGCUUAUAGAUAUGAUUUUGAGCUGAUGAAAUGUUUCGGAAGUCGGAUACAAUAAAUUACGCAUUAGUUUAGUUUGGGGUCUCGGAGACCCCAGCUGUUAAACAUGGUUGAAUACAAUGGGUUUUCGUAUUGAUAGUGUUAUUAUUGUUAUUGUUUAUUUCCAAGUAGGUUUACAUAUACAAGAAAUUCGCUUUGGUGCAUAGGUGCAUAGACAAGAAACAUCAUUAUAGAAUAGAAGAAAAAAAAAUACAAUAUAAAUGUUAAAAAUGUAUAAAAUGAAAAUAUGUACAGUAAAUAUAGGCAGGAAUGUGCCAGGAUAUAUUCCAAGGGAUGUGCAAAGGUUCACAGUAAUUAACAAUAAAAAGAAUAUGCGAUGUA